rnacentral:rRNA from 1 species
UACGUAGGGGGCAAGCGUUGUCCGGAUUUAUUGGGCGUAAAGAGCGUGUAGGCGGCUAGGUAGGUCCGUUGUGAAAACUGGAGGCUUAACCUCCAGACGUCGACGGAAACCGCGUGGCUAGAGUCCGGAAGAGGAGACUGGAAUUCAUGGUGUAGCAGUGAAAUGCGUAGAGAUCAUGAGGAAGACCAGUGGCGAAGGCGGGUCUCUGGACAGUUCCUGACACUGAGACACGAAGGCCAGGGGAGCAAACGGG